rnacentral:rRNA from 1 species
GGAUCAGUUCGCUGGUCGUGCCUCUGGUAUGUACUGGUGUUACUGGUUCCUCCCUUCUGACGAACUGUCAUGUCAUUUAUUUGGUGUGGCAGGGAAUCAGGACUGUUACUUUGAAAAAAUUAGAGUGUUUAAAGCAGGCAUUUUUGCUCGAAUACAUUAGCAUGGAAUAAUAAAAUAGGACGGUUGGUUCUAUUUUGUUGGUUUCUAGGAUCACCGUA